CUAUGCGCCUUGCCCAGCCCGCUCAGAAACUUAAAGGAAUUGACGGGGGCCCGCACAAGCGGAGGAACAUGUGGUUUUAAUUCGAUGAUACGCGAGGAACCUUACCUGGGCUUAAAUGGGGAGUGACAGCUGUCGAAAGAUGGUUUUCUUCGGACACUCUUCAAGGUGCUGCAUGGUUGUCGUCAGCUCGUGCCGUGAGGUGUCGGGUUAAGUCCCAUAACGAGCGCAACCCUUACCGUUAGUUACCAUCAGGUUAAGCUGGGGACUCUAGCGGGACUGCCACCGUAAGGUGAGAGGAAGGUGGGGAUGACGUCAAAUCAGCACGGCCCUUAUGUCCAGGGCUACACACGUGUUACAAUGGCCGGUACAAAGGGCAGCUACUUCGCGAGAAGAUGCUAAUCUCGAAAGCCGGUCUCAGUUCGGAUCGAAGUCUGCAACCCGACUUCGUGAAGCUGGAUUCGCUAGUAAUCGCGCAUCAGCCAUGGCGCGGUGAAUACGUUCCCGGGCCUU
rnacentral:rRNA from 1 species